AUGCCGUGAUGAGGAAACUUUCUCAAAAAUUCUUUAAACCUCUCCCAUGUGUCUUACAAUGAUUGCCCAUUAGUCUGAAUGAAGUUAUUGACCUCUCAUCUCAACCU